rnacentral:rRNA from 1 species
CGAGUUUGAUCCUGGCUCAGGAUGAACUCUAGCGGCAGGCUUAACACAUGCAAGUCGAGGGGCAGCGGGGUGUAGCAAUACACUGCCGGCGACCGGCGCACGGGUGCGUAACGCGUAUGCAACCUACCCAUAACAGGGGCAUAACACUGAGAAAUUGGUACUAAUUCCCCAUAACAUUCGAAGAGGCAUCUCUUUGGGUUGAAAACUCCGGUGGUUAUGGAUGGGCAUGCGUUGUAUUAGCUAGUUGGUGGGGUAACGG